rnacentral:rRNA from 1 species
UACGAAGGGGGCUAGCGUUGUUCGGAAUUACUGGGCGUAAAGCGCGCGUAGGCGGGCUGUUAAGUGAGAGGUGAAAGGCUGGGGCUUAACCCCAUGCAGUGCCUCUCAUACUGGCGGUCUUGAGUGCGGCAGGGAGAAGUGGAAUGGCUGGUGUAGCGGUGAAAUGCGUAGAUAUCAGUCGGAACACCUGAGGUGAAGACGGGUUGCUGGUCUAACACUGACGCUGAGGCGCGAAAGCCAGGGGAGCAAACGGG